UCCCUAGUGGCUCAGACAGUAAAGCGUCUGCCUACAAUGUGGGAGACCCAGGUUCAAUCCCUGGGUAGGGAA
rnacentral:tRNA from 1 species